rnacentral:lncRNA from 1 species
GCGGACUCAAAGCCAAAGGAUAUAUGCUAAUGCGAUACAUAUACUAACGGGUGCGAUCAUACCAGCACUAAUGCACCGGAUUCCAUCAGAACCCCGCAGUUAAGCGUGCUUGGGCGAGAGUAGUACUAGGAUGGGUGACCUCCCGGGAAGUCCUCGUGUUGCACCUUUUUUUGUUCCUCUUGAUUCUUUUCUUUUUAUUUUAUUUUUUGUCUUUUCACUUGAAAAUACAAAGGCAUCUUCCGAAGGACGCUAUUUCUAGACCGUGUGGAACCAGGCCUCCUACAACAACUUUUCGGAAAGCCCCUAGAGUGCUCUCGGGCUUGCCCAAGAAUUUAAAAACCAAGGGUGCGGUUUACGAGGCCAAAAUUUUGAGUUUUAGACCCUCUUCUGGGCGUUUUUCUAAAACAUAAGCCCCGGUUUUAGUAUCUUCAAACGUGGUGUCCUAACUUAUAUAUCUUGGCACGAAUGCUCGUCGCAGCUGGGCGGGAAAACCCAUAUAAACAAUGCAACACACGCGAAGAGAUUUCAUUGCGGACUCAAAGCCAAAGGAUAUAUGCUAAUGCGAUACAUAUACUUGAUGGGUGCGAUCAUACCAGCACUAAUGCACCGAAUCCCGUCAGAACACCGCAAUUAAGCGUGCUUGGGCGAGAGUAGUACUAGGAUGGGUGACCUCCCGGGAAGUCCUCGUGUUGCACCCCUUUUUUGUUCCUCUUGAUUUUUUUGUUUUUUUUUUUUUUUGGUCUUUUCAUUUGAAAAACAAUGCAUCUUCCGAACGACGCUAUUUCAAGACCGUGUGGAACCACGCCUCCUACAGCAACUUUUCGAAAAGCCCCAAGAGUGCUCUCGGGCUUGCCCAAGGGUCUAAAGACCAUGGGUGUGGUUUACGAGGCCAAAAUUUUGAGUUUUAGACCCUCUUCCGGGCGUUUUUCUAAAACAUAAGCCCCGGUUUUAGUGUCGUCAAAUGUGGUGUCCUAACUUAUAUAUCUUGGCACGAAUGCUCGUCGCAGCUGGGUGGGAAAACCCAUAUAAACAGUGCAACACACGCGAAGAGAUUUCAUUGCGCACUCAAAGCCAAAGGAUAUAUGCUAAUGCGAUACAUAUACUAACGGGUGCGAUCAUACCAGCACUAAUGCACCGGAUUCCAUCAGAACCCCGCAGUUAAGCGUGCUUGGGCGAGAGUAGUACUAGGAUGGGUGACCUCCCGGGAAGUCCUCGUGUUGCACCUUUUUUUGUUCCUCUUGAUUCUUUUCUUUUUAUUUUAUUUUUUGUCUUUUCAUUUGAAAAACAAGGCAUCUUCCGAAGGACGCUAUUUCUAGACCGUGUGGAACCAGGCCUCCUACAACAACUUUUCGGAAAGCCCCUAGAGUGCUCUCGGGCUUGCCCAAGAAUCUAAAAACCAAGGGUGCGGUUUACGAGGCCAAAAUUUUGAGUUUUAGACCCUCUUCUGGGCGUUUUUCUAAAACAUAAGCCCCGGUUUUAGUAUCUUCAAACGUGGUGUCCUAACUUAUAUAUCUUGGCACGAAUGCUCGUCGCAGCUGGGCGGGAAAACCCAUAUAAACAAUGCAACACACGCGAAGAGAUUUCAUUGCGGACUCAAAGCCAAAGGAUAUAUGCUAAUGCGAUACAUAUACUUGAUGGGUGCGAUCAUACCAGCACUAAUGCACCGAAUCCCAUCAGAACACCGCAAUUAAGCGUGCUUGGGCGAGAGUAGUACUAGGAUGGGUGACCUCCCGGGAAGUCCUCGUGUUGCACCCCUUUUUUGUUCCUCUUGAUUUUUUUGUUUUUUUUUUUUUUUGGUCUUUUCAUUUGAAAAACAAUGCAUCUUCCGAACGACGCUAUUUCAAGACCGUGUGGAACCACGCCUCCUACAGCAACUUUUCGAAAAGCCCCAAGAGUGCUCUCGGGCUUGCCCAAGGGUCUAAAGACCAUGGGUGUGGUUUACGAGGCCAAAAUUUUGAGUUUUAGACCCUCUUCUGGGCGUUUUUCUAAAACAUAAGCCCCGGUUUUAGUAUCUUCAAACGUGGUGUCCUAACUUAUAUAUCUUGGCACGAAUGCUCGUCGCAGCUGGGCGGGAAAACCCAUAUAAACAAUGCAACACACGCGAAGAGAUUUCAUUGCGGACUCAAAGCCAAAGGAUAUAUGCUAAUGCGAUACAUAUACUUGAUGGGUGCUAUCAUACCAGCACUAAUGCACCGAAUCCCAUCAGAACACCGCAAUUAAGCGUGCUUGGGCGAGAGUAGUACUAGGAUGGGUGACCUCCCGGGAAGUCCUCGUGUUGCACCCCUUUUUUGUUCCUCUUGAUUUUUUUGUUUUUUUUUUUUUUUUGGUCUUUUCAUUUGAAAAACAAUGCAUCUUCCGAACGACGCUAUUUCAAGACCGUGUGGAACCACGCCUCCUACAGCAACUUUUCGAAAAGCCCCAAGAGUGCUCUCGGGCUUGCCCAAGGGUCUAAAGACCAUGGGUAAGGUUUACGAGGCCAAAAUUUUGAGUUUUAGACCCUCUUCCGGGCGUUUUUCUAAAACAUAAGCCCCGGUUUUAGUGUCGUCAAACUUGGUGUCCUAACUUAUAUAUCUUGGCACGAAUGCUCGUCGCAGCUGGGCGGGAAAACCCAUAUAAACAGUGCAACACACGCGAAGAGAUUUCAUUGCGGACUCAAAGCCAAAGGAUAUAUGCUAAUGCGAUACAUAUACUAACGGGUGCGAUCAUACCAGCACUAAUGCACCGGAUUCCAUCAGAACCCCGCAGUUAAGCAUGCUUGGGCGAGAGUAGUCCUAGGAUGGGUGAC